GACUGGUCUAAGGGUAGUGAGUUAACACAAUUGACUGUUCAGUUACAGACAGAACUCCUUGUUCUACUACUUCCCCCUUCUCACAAAGGCACUUGACUAGUCAAAA
ensembl:misc_RNA Y_RNA Y RNA